rnacentral:rRNA from 1 species
CGAACGCUGGCGGCGUGCUUAACACAUGCAAGUCGAACGGAAAGGCCCUGCUUUUGUGGGGUGCUCGAGUGGCGAACGGGUGAGUAACACGUGAGUAACCUGCCCUUGACUUUGGGAUAACUUCAGGAAACUGGGGCUAAUACCGGAUAGGAGCUCCUGCUGCAUGGUGGGGGUUGGAAAGUUUCGGCGGUUGGGGAUGGACUCGCGGCUUAUCAGCUUGUUGGUGGGGUAGUGGCUUACCAAGGCUUUGACGGGUAGCCGGCCUGAGAGGGUGACCGGCCACAUUGGGACUGAGAUACGGCCCAGACUCCUACGGGAGGCAGCAGUGGGGAAUAUUGCACAAUGGGCGGAAGCCUGAUGCAGCAACGCCGCGUGCGGGAUGACGGCCUUCGGGUUGUAAACCGCUUUCGCCUGUGACGAAGCGUGAGUGACGGUAAUGGGUAAAGAAGCACCGGCUAACUACGUGCCAGCAGCCGCGGUGAUACGUAGGGUGCGAGCGUUGUCCGGAUUUAUUGGGCGUAAAGGGCUCGUAGGUGGUUGAUCGCGUCGGAAGUGUAAUCUUGGGGCUUAACCCUGAGCGUGCUUUCGAUACGGGUUGACUUGAGGAAGGUAGGGGAGAAUGGAAUUCCUGGUGGAGCGGUGGAAUGCGCAGAUAUCAGGAGGAACACCAGUGGCGAAGGCGGUUCUCUGGGCCUUUCCUGACGCUGAGGAGCGAAAGCGUGGGGAGCGAACAGGCUUAGAUACCCUGGUAGUCCACGCUGUAAACGGUGGGUACUAGGUGUGGGGUCCAUUCCACGGGUUCCGUGCCGUAGCUAACGCUUUAAGUACCCCGCCUGGGGAGUACGGCCGCAAGGCUAAAACUCAAAGGAAUUGACGGGGCCCCGCACAAGCGGCGGAGCAUGCGGAUUAAUUCGAUGCAACGCGUAGAACCUUACCUGGGUUUGACAUGGAUCGGGAGUGCUCAGAGAUGGGUGUGCCUCUUUUGGGGUCGGUUCACAGGUGGUGCAUGGCUGUCGUCAGCUCGUGUCGUGAGAUGUUGGGUUAAGUCCCCGCAACGAGCGCAACCCUUGUUCACUGUUGCCAGCACGUUAUGGUGGGGACUCAGUGGAGACCGCCGGGGUCAACUCGGAGGAAGGUGGGGAUGACGCCAAGUCAUCAUGCCCCUUAUGUCCAGGGCUUCACGCAUGCUACAAUGGCUGGUACAGAGAGUGGCGAGCCUGUGAGGGUGAGCGAAUCUUGGAAAGCCGGUCUCAGUUCGGAUUGGGGUCUGCAACUCGACCUCAUGAAGUCGGAGUCGCUAGUAAUCGCAGAUCAGCAACGCUGCGGUGAAUACGUUCCCGGG